AGUCAAUCUCUCCUCCAUUUUGAACCAGGAGAGAUUGACCUGCAUAUUAUUAAUAUUAGCUCUGUGUGUACAUCCAAGGGCCAGCCGCGCUGCCCUGUUCUGAACCAAAUGCAAUUUUCCAAAGUCCUUUUUUGUGGCACCUGACCACACGACUGAACAGUCGUAGGCCUGUAGGACCUGCCUUGUUGACAGUGCUGUCAAGAAGGUAGAGCAGCGUCUUAUCAUAGACAUACUUCGCCACCUCUUAGCUACUGUAAUGCAAGUCCAUUAAACAAUGUAUUAACAGAAAGUUUUGCAGUAUAAAGUACUUAGGGCAAGCAAUCACAUUGGCUUGUCCAGGUAGUGAUGUGUGAAGUUGUAGUGACAUUUUGGGGAUUUAGAGCUAAAUAUUAUUUUGAAUGUUAGAAGAUGAAAAAGGUAUUUAAUAUAUUGUUUAGAUCAAUGAAAACAAAGGCUAUUAAAAAUAUAUAUAUUUUUACUACUAUAUCUGUCCCUCAGUUUUAUUUCCUUGGAGUUACCGCCUGAAAAACCACUCAUUACAAAGAUAUACAAGGACCUCGACCAUUCCCUCCAGUGGAAAACAUCGGGGGAGACGUCUUUAUUAAAGAAAAUUGUAAGCAGUUCCUGCUACAGGAGAGAACUUUGGAUCGGACAUCCUGCCAAGCCGACUGUGAAAAAAUAAAUAAAUAAACGUGUAUGGAGAGAGA